rnacentral:misc_RNA from 1 species
UCGAUUCACGGAGCCCCGCCCUGCCUGCCGCCCGCCAGAGCCGUGAAGGUGCAGCAGCCGCAGCAGCAUCAGCUCUGCCAGUUUCGUUCGCGUCGAGUUUUUGCCGAGUGUCGUCGAAUGAAAACAAUCGCCGACGUCCGUACGUCGCGCAUCCCGAGACGUUGACGUCGCACGCAACGUGCGCCCCGUCUCUCUCUCUCGUCGUCGCGGCAACGUCCACGUCGCUCGUCGGUCAUCGUCGUCGUCGUCGAGAGAUCCGUCGCGACAGUUAACCUUAAAGAAAGCGGCGGGUGCGGUGAUAGUGUUUUCCCCUCCGAGGAGGAUAGCCGGGUAAACUCGGCGAGUCGAGACGGAAAGGUGUGCGACGAGGAAAGUGCGUAGUCAUCGAUGUGAGAGCCGAGGACGGCGAGGGAAGAGCAGAGGGAGCGAGUGCGAAAGCGAGGGGAAAGAGAGAGGCCCAGGAGCAUCGAGCCGGGAAUUCCGACGACCGCAGGCUCCGUCAGGGAGCUCCAGAGGUGGCAACGGUCUCGUCAGGAAGCGUCGAAGCUGGCGUGUGGGGCGGCGGAGUCAGCUGUGGUCUGGCUCUGAUUCCGGUGGUAGCGGCGGAAGCGGAAGCCGCGAAGGCAAUAGCGAAGGCAGCAGGAGGCGAGGAGGUGGGGCCGGGAGAAGUUGCUGGUAGCCCCGAUUUUGUUGGGACACGGUGCGAACGUCAUCCUCAUUCCCAUCUUCAUCUACCUCUUCUUCUUUCACCUCGCACCCUGCCUUACGGGAGUAGGAAAUUCGUAAGCGUUCGCCAGCGGCCACCAGGAGAGCUAUCGACGGCGUGACAUCGGCCCCGCGAUCGGCCUUCCUCCCGUAGAGGAGUAAGCGCCGCACAGACAGGAGUCGCACCGCCAUCCGUCAUCAUCCGCAGAAAUUACAUCCAGUGAGCCCUCUCCGAGGCGAGGCGAAGCGAGACGAGAGGAGAGAGCUUCCUCAGCCUUCCCCUCCGCGAGCGCGCGACAUCCUAGUAUUUUGGCCCCGCUAACGGGUGUUCAUAAGCCUCGCGCGUCAUCUGUCAGACACCAUGAACGAGCUCGACAGCCUUCGUCAGGAGGCGGAGACGCUGAAAAAUGCCAUCCGGGAUGCCAGGAAAGCAGCAUGCGACACGACCUUGGCCCAGGCCACAUCGGGCAUGGAACCUAUCGGUCGCAUACAAAUGCGUACGAGACGUACGCUUCGCGGUCACUUAGCUAAGAUUUAUGCGAUGCACUGGGGAAGUGACUCCAGGAAUCUAGUCUCCGCAUCGCAAGACGGCAAACUGAUCGUUUGGGAUAGUUAUACCACCAAUAAGGUUCACGCAAUCCCAUUGCGAUCCUCAUGGGUAAUGACUUGUGCAUACGCGCCCUCGGGUAGUUACGUAGCGUGCGGUGGGCUGGACAAUAUCUGUUCCAUCUAUAGCCUUAAAACUAGGGAAGGUAACGUGCGGGUAAGCAGAGAGCUGCCGGGUCACACUGGAUAUUUAUCCUGCUGUCGAUUCUACGACGACAACCAGAUCGUUACCAGUUCCGGCGAUAUGUCUUGUGCUUUAUGGGAUAUCGAGACUGGCCAGCAAUGCACCUCGUUCAUCGGGCACACUGGCGAUGUGAUGUCGUUGUCGUUGGCACCGGAUACACGCACUUUUGUAUCUGGCGCGUGCGACGCCAGCGCAAAGUUAUGGGACAUUCGUGAAGGAUCCUGCAAGCAGACUUUUCCGGGUCACGAGAGUGACAUAAAUGCUGUAACGUUCUUCCCGAACGGAUACGCUUUCGCGACAGGCUCGGACGAUGCGACCUGCAGACUCUUUGAUAUUAGAGCAGAUCAGGAACUAGCAAUGUACAGCCAUGACAAUAUCAUUUGCGGUAUCACCAGUGUAGCUUUCAGCAAGAGCGGUAGAUUAUUGCUGGCAGGUUACGACGAUUUUAAUUGCAAUGUUUGGGAUUCUAUGAAGACGGAACGAGCCGGAAUUCUCGCUGGGCAUGACAAUCGCGUGUCUUGUCUUGGCGUUACGGAGGACGGCAUGGCAGUAGCGACGGGUUCUUGGGAUUCGUUCCUACGCAUUUGGAAUUAACUUGGGGCUCUUCCCAGGACGUUCCUUCAAAGAACCAACUACAGUCAACCAGCAUACAGCAUAAGAAUCAAGUACCAUCAUCUAACCACUGAACAAAUCGGCGUGCCAGCAGUCACGCUGGCGAAUAAUCCGCCAAGUUCACCGGAGUUGACGCUGAUUAGAAACUUUGGAUAUCCGAUUAGUAGCAGCAGCAGCAGCGGCAGCAGCAACAAUAAUAAUUAUGAUCGUAGAAAGGUCCACGACAACAAUGGCGAAGGUAACAGCAGCGGCGGCGAAUUUAAAAAUGUUUUGGAUUGUGGUGGUAAAAAAGACUCCCGCAAAAACAGGCGCAUCGUAGUCGACUUGACUUGGCGACAUAGUAAAGUCGGCGACAAGGACCACGAAUAUCAACGUUUCUAGAAAGAAUCUAAACUGUAAUUGGAUCGAAUACGAAAACAAAUUGUUGCCAAAAAAUGUGCGGCAGAGGGCAAGAAUCGAGAACGAGCGCCGACAACAAGACCGACAACCGAGAAGAACUAUCUACGGCAUCAGGCACGCAUUUUCUUUUUCUUCUCCCCUUUCUCAAGGACUUUCUUCGCGAACCUUCGAGAGACACGUGCUGUUCUACGGCUUUGAUAGUUCUUUCCCACGGGAGUAUUUCCAGUCGAGGAUUCCAAAGUUCGAAGGACUACAAUCUCGUGCCGACGAUCGUCGAGAGAUUUUCAUCUCGAAUCGAGGUUCAAGCAUUCACUGCCGAGAAGGCGCCGUUAACGACUGCUCCGGCAGUUGGCUGCGAGUUACUUUUCCCGAUACACGAUUAUAUCGGGCGGAAUGAGAUAUGCUAUGGAUAUUGCGUCGCAAUCCGGUAAUAAACGAACCAGCCAAAGGUCAUGAUAGUCCUGCAAUGAUACGUUUGAGUCAUACGACGCACAUUGAACGCACACGUGUAUCAAUGGAGAUUCACAGAUACACGAAUUGCAUAAACUUGCACAUAAAAGCGAGUGGUCGAAAUAAAAUAUAAGAAAGAUGCGGAUCGUUCACCAGCAGCCUCGAAAUACAUCCAAGUCGCACACACUUGUCACGUAAGCUUUGCCCUCGUGCACGAGCAUCGAGCGGCCAAGCGAAGAAAAAAGAAUAAUGAGAUGUCACUUUUUUUAACACAAUAAUACGCCGACUUCGCACCGCUAUAACUAUUAUUACUAUUAUUAUCACACCCCUCGAUGAAUUUCGUAGAUGUAUCGUUAUUUAUUUUGUAUAGACUUCUGCCAUAGGCCGCCCUGCGCCUGCGUUUUUUGCGAGUGCGAGAGCGAUUGAGCAUGUAGUAAAAAAGAAUGAACGAGACUUAUGAGAGCGUGAGAACGAGGCGCGAGAGGCGCACGGCCCAUUGCCAAUCAAAAAAACGAGGAACGGGACAUGAGAUACGAGACGCGCGGAUAGAGCAAACGGAUAAGAGGACGCUCCUUUGAAUAAAUAUUUGUAAUAUGAUAAUUUGGUACAUGAAGACGUUGACGGAUCAUAUUUGUGCAACAUCGCAAGAAGAUGAGAAGUGACGGAUCAGUGAGCGAGAAAGCAAAUCAGACACAUCAAUUAAUUUCGUAAAGCAACAUCCUGCUAAGGCGAGUGGUCUAAGGGAUUAUGUGAUGUUGGGUCCUAUUUCAACCAUGGAAUAAUCGUCACUCUCUAGUAUAAACAUAGUUAAUAAAAAGGAGGAAAAGGAGGAAAGAAAGGGAAGAAACGCGAAGAGAAUGUGCCGACGACACUUUCGUGACUUUUAAGAUGGACGACGAGGAGCCGUCAGGAAUACUGCCUCUUUCAAGUUAUGCACAAAAAAAAAA